rnacentral:rRNA from 1 species
UGGAGGUUGUGCCCUUGAGGCGUGGCUUCCGGAGCUAACGCGUUAAGUAGACCGCCUGGGGAGUACGGCCGCAAGGUUAAAACUCAAAUGAAUUGACGGGGGCCCGCACAAGCGGUGGAGCAUGUGGUUUAAUUCGAUGCAACGCGAAGAACCUUACCUGGUCUUGACAUCCACAGAAGAAUCCAGAGAUGGAUUUGUGCCUUCGGGAACUGUGAGACAGGUGCUGCAUGGCUGUCGUCAGCUCGUGUUGUGAAAUGUUGGGUUAAGUCCCGCAACGAGCGCAACCCUUAUCCUUUGUUGCCAGCGGUCCGGCCGGGAACUCAAAGGAGACUGCCAGUGAUAAACUGGAGGAAGGUGGGGAUGACGUCAAGUCAUCAUGGCCCUUACGACCAGGGCUACACACGUGCUACAAUGGCGCAUACAAAGAGAAGCGACCUCGCGAGAGCAAGCGGACCUCAUAAAGUGCGUCGUAGUCCGGAUUGGAGUCUGCAACUCGACUCCAUGAAGUCGGAAUCGCUAGUAAUCGUGGAUCAGAAUGCCACGGUGAAUACGUUCCCGGGCCUUGUACACACCGCCCGUCACACCAUGGGAGUGGGUUGCAAAAGAAGUAGGUAGCUUAACCUUCGGGAGGGCGCUUACCACUUUGUGAUUCAUGACUGGGGUGAAGUCGUAACAAGGUAACCGUAGGGGAACCUGC